AUGAACGCUGGCGGCGUGCCUAAUACAUGCAAGUCGCGCGAACAGACGAGGAGCUUGCUCCUCUGACGUUAGCGGCGGACGGGUGAGUAACACGUGGAUAACCUACCUAUAAGACUGGGAUAACUUCGGGAAACCGGAGCUAAUACCGGAUAAUAUAUUGAACCGCAUGGUUCAAUAGUGAAAGACGGUUUUGCCGUCACUUAUAGAUGGAUCCGCGCCGCAUUAGCUAGUUGGUAAGGUAACGGCUUACCAAGGCGACGAUGCGUAGCCGACCUGAGAGGGUGAUCGGCCACACUGGAACUGAGACACGGUCCAGACUCCUACGGGAGGCAGCAGUAGGGAAUCUUCCGCAAUGGGCGAAAGCCUGACGGAGCAACGCCGCGUGAGUGAUGAAGGUCUUCGGAUCGUAAAACUCUGUUAUUAGGGAAGAACAAAUGUGUAAGUAACUAUGCACGUCUUGACGGUACCUAAUCAGAAAGCCACGGCUAACUACGUG
rnacentral:rRNA from 1 species